UGGCCCCCAAAUGCCCGUCUCCACUCCCACCUCAAAAGAAGAAAUCAAGACUACCUCCUGCUCUGAGACUGGAGGAGACAUCAGUCUCUGUAGGCUUGCCGAAGAAGGGAGAAAAAGAACAGCAAGAAGCAAUUGAACAUAUUGAUGAAGUACAAAAAGAAAUAGACUUAAUGAACAAGCUAGUGAGGAGAUUUUGAAAGCAGAACAGAAAUAAUACAAACUCCUGCAACCAUUUUUUCAGAAGACGUCAGAAUUGAUUGCCAAGAUCCCAAAUUUUCGGGCAACAUUUGUCAACCAUCUCCACGUGUCUGCACUGCUUGGGGAGGAGGAGGAAGAGGCACUGCAUUAUUUGAUCAGAGUUGAAAUGACAGAAUUUGAAAAUAUUAAAUCAGGUUAUAGAAUAGGUUUUUAUUCUGAUGAAAAUCCUUACUUUGAAAACAAAGUUGUCUCCAAAGAAUUUCAUCUGAAUGAGAGUGGUGAUCCAUCUGCAAAUUCCACUGAAAUCAAAUGGAAAUUUAGAAAAAAUUUGACAAAACAUUAAAGUCAGAUGCAGAGUAAAGCCAGCAGGAAGAGGCAGCAUGAGGCACCAGAGAGCUUCUCUACCUGAUUUACCCACCAUUCUGAUGAAGGUGCUGAUGAGUUAGGAGAGGUCAUCAAAGGUGAUAUUUGGCCAAACCCAUUAUAGUACUACUUGGUUCCCAAUAUGGAUGAUGGAGAAGAAGAAGGAGAAGAAGAUUAGUAGGAGGAAGAAUUAGAAAAUAUUGAUGAAGAAGAUGAGGGUGAAGGUGAAGAAGAUGACAAUGGUGAUGAAGGGCAGGAAGGAGAGGAGGAUGAAGGAGAAGAUG
rnacentral:lncRNA from 1 species